rnacentral:rRNA from 1 species
AACGAACGCUGGCGGCAUGCCUAACACAUGCAAGUCGAACGGGAUCCUAGCUUGCUAGGUGAGAGUGGCGGACGGGUGAGUAACACGUGGGAAUCUGCCUUUUGGUUCGGGAUAACCGCGGGAAACUGCGGCUAAUACCGAAUGCCCUCGAGAGAGGAAAGAUUUAUCGCCAGAAGAGGAGCCCGCGUCCGAUUAGGUAGUUGGUGGGGUAAAGGCCUACCAAGCCGACGAUCGGUAGCUGGUCUGAGAGGAUGAUCAGCCACACUGGGACUGAGAUACGGCCCAGACUCCUACGGGAGGCAGCAGUGGGGAAUAUUGGACAAUGGGGGGCAACCCUGAUCCAGCAAUGCCGCGUGAGUGAUGAAGGCCUUAGGGUUGUAAAGCUCUUUUGCCGGGGAAGAUGAUGACUGUACCUGGAGAAUAAGCCCCGGCUAACUUCGUGCCAGCAGCCGCGG